UACGUAGGGUGCAAGCGUUAAUCGGAAUUACUGGGCGUAAAGCGUGCGCAGGCGGUUUUGUAAGUCUGACGUGAAAUCCCCGGGCUUAACCUGGGAAUGGCAUUUGUGACUGGAAGGCUAGAGUGUGUCAGAGGGGGGUAGAAUUCCACGUGUAGCAGUGAAAUGCGUAGAGAUUUGGAGGAAUACCAGUGGCGAAGGCGGCCCCCUGGCACAACACUGACGCUCAGGUGCGAAAGCGUGGGGAGCAAACAGG
rnacentral:rRNA from 1 species